CCCUAUGGGGUGCCCCGCGAAAAGCUCAAUAUCGAAAUCAUGGCGGAAGGCAGUUCCGGAUUUCUGGGCCUGGGGGCCAGGAAGGCCCGAAUCAAGGCCGGCUUGCUGUCUUUCGAUUCCGACUCCGCGACGAUACGAUACGAUCUUUUUGACGAUGAAAUCCCACCUGCCCAACCUCCCGUAAAAUCGGCAGGUAAUGAGGCGGCACCACUAGCGACGCCCCAGCCGGUGGAUGCCGGUUCCGUCGCCGAAAGGGCCCGCGAGAUUCUGGAGGGGAUUCUCAUGCGCAUGUCCCUGGCGUCUCCCGUCACGGUCGAAGAAACGGAAGACCGCAUCAUCCUGAACAUUCACAGCGACGGCGGGGGGGC
rnacentral:rRNA from 1 species